GUUACCUCUCUCAGAAUAUCUAAAACACUAAACUGGUUUUCCAAGCCCUGCUGAAAUAUGCUAUCAACUGGUUCAGCAGCGAAUAUCCAAGAUACCGACAAUAUGCACUCUAUCCAGUUCAGUUGCCGCUUUUAUAAUAUCACCUAAAAGUAAAAAGCAGAUGAAACCAUUUCUUCCUGCUUGGGCAGCAACAAGAUGGAAGCAGACUGGAUUCCUGAAUUGCUGCUGGGAAGAGAGCUGAUGACAGAUUGCAUCAGACUUAAGCAAGAAAUAAACUUCUUGAGUUAAAGUCUCUGUGACUUUAGAGUUGUUUUGUAAUUGAGCAUAGUCCAAUAGAUAUUGUAAUACAGUGUGGUAUUCCUGUCUCUGAAACUAAUAAGGGAAACCUUGAUUACCUAGAGAAUAAUAAAAUUGUUUUCUUUGAUGUGUUAAAACACUUCCAUAUUAUGCUGUACUUCUAAAAUGAUAUCCUUGGACUUCAAAGUUAAAGAUGACACCAAGUAGGAUAUCAUAUCAGUAAUCGGUAUUCAAUAAAAGACUUGGGAU